GGAAGAUAAGAAAAAAAAAUGAGAAUUUGAAAAAAUAUCCUCAUGAUAGCAUCAUGAAAGCAGUGCUAUCUUCUGGUUAAAUAAGGCAUGAACAAUAAUUUUGGGUUAGGGCACUGUUUCAUUCUCCAUAGCUGAAUGGAAUUUGCAGAUAAAUCCCCGUCCCGGCUCAUGAGAAAUGUCAUCAGCAAGGGGAGAAUAUAAAACAGGUGGACCUGUGAGUUUACACAAUUUUUAAACAGAGAUGGAGAACUGAGGUCAAGUAGAGUCAACAGUGAAAGUCUUCUGGAAAGGUGGUUAGACUCCCCAACAACAUGGAACAUUUGAGGAGCUUGCAGUGAAAAGAUUUCCCUGAAUGCACAGUGGGCACACAGGCCAAGACAGCUCUGUUCAGAGGAGAUGAUGUUGG
ensembl:lncRNA